rnacentral:ncRNA from 1 species
GUUGUUGCAAUAGUAAUUUCGUUCAGUACGAGAGGAACCGCAGGUUCAGACAUUUGGUGUAUGUGCUUGGCUGAUGAGCCAAUGGUGCGAAGCUACCAUCUGUGGGAUUAUGACUGAACGCCUCUAAGUCAGAAUCCCCCCUAAACUUAAUGAU